UUGGCUAUCAAGUCUAAGUUAAUACAUAGUUAAAACGGUUUGACACCUUAAUUACAUGGUUUAAAGCGUGUCUAGACGCGUUCGACCCAACUAAUUUGUGUGAAACUUGUUAUAGUAAUCGUGUUAACUGUGUUAGUAGUUUCACACAACACGUUUAACCUUUGUAUUAAAACGACUUAGUUUUGUAACCUUUGUAAAUAAGCUUAGAGGAAGUAAUCUGAGUAAAGUGAAGAAGCCGCAUUUGGAUCAGCUUUUAUAAGAACCCUAGAGUUGAGUUUAGCGGAACGUUUUCUAAGUAGAUCAGGUAAAAUCAACAACUUUGAAUCAGUGAGUUUUAGCGGGUAUCAAAAAGAUUGAUUCACAAAUUAGUUUCUUUCCCGGUAAGAUCAGUUAUCAUAAAUUUUCAAAUCGUGUCAUAUUUGGUAAUUGGUUUAUGUAAAUCUUGAUUGAUUCCAUUGUAUUCUGGUAGUGUAUCUAUGUUUCUAUGUUACAAAGUGCUUUAUUCAUGCGUGAUUCUAUAUUUUUUUUAAGUAUAUUAUGGUUUUUUUUUAUUUCAUUAUAUGGAUGAACAAAUGAAUAGUCAAACCUACAUCAACAAAAUUGUUGAAAGUGCAGUUUGUUAUUCUAAAUUCCAUGAAAAUAUGUGGAUAUUGAGAAGAGGAAAUUGGAACACUUGGAAAUGGAAUCGAUGAAGAAAGUGUUGGCAGCGUCAACAUUCAGGGAGGCCAGAUGGCAAAUUAGCAAGUUAAGACAUUUUGUGUGUAUUUUUUAAAUUUUGUUUAUUGUAGCACAGAUUAGCUAUGCAAUGGGAGGCAUAUAUAUGCAGUUUUUUUUGAAGAAUCAAGGCCCGAUCUUACCCAAGUUCUCUAUUCGAGAAACUCAACUCAAAAAUGAUGAAGACUCUUGAUUGUGCAAAAAAGGGUUAUGCUGAACAGAAGGCUCAUACGCUCUGCGAGAGUCAAAAGAGUCAAGACGGCAAAAUUUACGGGUCAGGCGGGGUUGGUAACGGGUCAACAGGUUCCGGUUCAAGCUGGUCAUUAUGGUAGAAGUCAACAUAAUUAAGUCAAGUUGUUUUGACCCACAUACUUUUUGUCCUUUAUUUUAUCUUUUUUAUAAAUAAUGCAUCAUUUUCAUACAUAUCUCGAUUGAAAUUUUCUUGAUUCUUUGUUUCUUUUCAGAAUGUUCGAAUAACACCAUCACCAAUGGAGACCACAUUCUUAUACAACUCCACUGACAAAAGGCUGCUGAAAGAUUUUGGGGGUAUAGAAUUUUUAGUUUAGGGAAGUCAGGACUUGAUUUUUGGUUAUAUUGCUAGAUGUCAUUUUUUUGUGUAUAACAUCUGUUGAUUGA